rfam:Crassostrea gigas strain 05x7-T-G4-1.051#20 contig14094, whole genome shotgun sequence.
UCCUCGAUAGCUCAGUGGUAGAGCAGACGGCUGUUAACCGUCUUGUCGUAGGUUCGAAUCCUACUCGAGGAG